CCAGAUGCAAGGCUUCCAGCUUCUGAGCCAUCUCUUUGUGCCGCUGCCGGUACCAGCCAUCAAAAUGGGGUGACUUAAAAAACCGUCUGUAAAGGCCUAGCCAGUCGCCCUUGAGGAUGCAGGUGAGCUGGGGUCCAGCAUGUUCCAGACUACGCAGGAAUUCAUCCUGGCGGAAGGGACGGAUCUGGGGGGGAGUCUACAAAGGAAGCCAGAGAGGCUAGGUGAAUCCUAGUGCUUG